rnacentral:rRNA from 1 species
GACGAACGCUGGCGGCGUGCUUAACACAUGCAAGUCGAGCGGUAAGGCCCUUUCGGGGGUACACGAGCGGCGAACGGGUGAGUAACACGUGGGUGACCUGCCUUUAGCUCUGGGAUAAGCCUGGGAAACUGGGUCUAAUACCGGAUAUGACUCCAUGAUGCAUGUUGUGGGGUGGAAAGCCUUGUGCGGCUGGAGAUGGGCCCGCGGCCUAUCAGCUUGUUGGUGGGGUGANGGCCCUACCAAGGCGACGACGGGUAGCCGGCCUGAGAGGGCGACCGGCCACACUGGGACUGAGACACGGCCCAGACUCCUACGGGAGGCAGCAGUGGGGAAUCUUGCGCAAUGGGCGAAAGCCUGACGCAGCGACGCCGCGUGAGGGAUGACGGCCUGGUGUAACU